rnacentral:tRNA from 1 species
GCCGAAGUAGCUCAGUUGGUAGAGCAUUGCUUUCGUAAAGCAAGGGUCCCCGGUUCGAUCCCGGGCUUCGGCU